AGUCAAAUAGUAAAUACUCCGUAGAUAGUAGGUGCUUUAAAGCGUAACGGGAAACCAACCUGCCGAGGAUUCCAAUAUAUGCGUGUAAAUAUAUGGUCUCUUCGAAUUUUACGGAGAGGCCUUUGAUUUUAUUAUA
rfam:Clostridium sp. DMHC 10 contig_15, whole genome shotgun sequence.